rnacentral:piRNA from 1 species
UAUUUAGUAUCAUAAAAUGCUGAAGGCGC